rnacentral:rRNA from 1 species
UGGGGAAUCUUGCACAAUGGGCGACAGCCUGAUGCAGCAAUGCCGCGUGAGGGAAGACGGCCUUCGGGUUGAAAACCUCUUUCAGUUGGGAUGAGGGUUGGACGGUGAAUAGCCGGCUCAACUGACCGUACCUUCAGAAGAAGCCCCGGCUAACUACGUGCCAGCAGCCGCGGUAAUACGUAGGGGGCAAGCGUUGUCCGGAAUCAUUGGGCGUAAAGCGCGUGUAGGCGGUUACGUAAGUCUGCUGUGAAAGUCGGAGGCUCAACCUUCGAAAGCCGGUGGAUACUGCGUGACUAGAGUACGGAAGAGGAGAGUGGAAUUCCUGGUGUAGCGGUGAAAUGCGCAGAUAUCAGGAGGAACACCAACGGCGAAGGCAGCUCUCUGGGACGUUACUGACGCUGAGACGCGAAAGCGUGGGGAGCAAACAGGAUUAGAUACCCUGGUAGUCCACGCCGUAAACGAUGGUCACUAGAUGU